UACGGAGGGGGCUAGCGUUGUUCGGAAUUACUGGGCGUAAAGCGCACGUAGGCGGCUUGGAAAGUUGGAGGUGAAAGCCCGGAGCUCAACUCCGGAAUUGCCUUCAAAACUCCCAGGACUAGAGUUCGGAAGAGGAGAGUGGAAUUCCCUGUGUAGCGGUGAAAUGCGUAGAUAUAGGAAGGAACACCAGUGGCGAAGGCGACUACCUGGACUGAUACUGACACUGAGGUGCGAAAGCGUGGGG
rnacentral:rRNA from 1 species